UGGGGAAUAUUGGACAAUGGGCGCAAGCCUGAUCCAGCCAUGCCGCGUGAGUGAUGAAGGCCCUAGGGUUGUAAAGCUCUUUCACCGGGGAAGAUAAUGACGGUAACCGGAGAAGAAGCCCCGGCUAACUUCGUGCCAGCAGCCGCGGUAAUACGAAGGGGGCUAGCGUUGUUCGGAUUUACUGGGCGUAAAGCGCACGUAGGCGGACUUUUAAGUCAGGGGUGAAAUCCCGGGGCUCAACCCCGGAACUGCCUUUGAUACUGGAAGUCUUGGGGAUGGUAGAGGUGGGUCGAGUUCCGACUUUUGAGGUGAAAAUCGUAGAUAUUCGGUGGAACACCAGUGGCGAAGGCGGCUCACUGGACCAUUACUGACGCUGAGGUGCGAAAGCGGGGGGAGCGAACAGG
rnacentral:rRNA from 1 species